AUUGAACGCUGGCGGCAGGCCUAACACAUGCAAGUAGAACGCGUGGCGGACGGGUGAGUAAUGUCUGGGAAACUGCCCGAUGGAGGGGGAUAACUACUGGAAACGGUAGCUAAUACCGCGUACCAUCGGAUGUGCCCCGAUGGGCUGAGCUUGUAGGUGAGGUAACGGCUCACCUAGGCGACGAUCCCUAGCUGGUCUGAGAGGAUGACCAGCCCAACGUGAACUAAGACAUGGUCCAGGCGCCGACUGGAUGCAGCAGUGGGGAAUAUGGGACAAUGGGCGCAAGGCUGAGGCGGCCAUGCCGCGUGUAUGAAGAAGGCAUUCGUGUUGUAAAGUACUUUCAGCGGGGAGGCGUUACCCGCAGAAGAAGCACCGGCUAACUCCGGGCCAGCAGCCGCGGUAAUAC
rnacentral:rRNA from 1 species